UAAACUUUUUUUUUUUACUUAUUCCCCUAUUCCAUACAAUUAUAUUAUAAUAGAAAUAAAAGAUCUUUGCCUUUAAAGUUAGAGUAGAAGCAGGACCUGGCAUAGGCUUCUACCAAAGGCUUUCUUUUUUUUGCAAUCUGAAUUUUUCCCUUUCUCUAUGCAUGAUCUUCUGAGAUAGUCUACACAGAUGUCUUAUGUGGCCUUAUACCUUAGACAAAUGAAAAAUUCUUCCUUUUGGGAAGGCAAAUUUGCUUCUAUAACUUUUUCUCCUCUGCUUUUGUGAGUAUGAGAGAGUUUCUCUACUACAAGACUGUAGGAUAAAAGUUGGUAUAACAAAAAUAAAGAUUGAAAAGAUAAAAUGACAACCAAAAAACAAUGACAAAAUUGGAAUUCAGGAAUAAUCUUCACUUUGGCAAUAUGGCUAAAUAUAACUUGGGUUAGGGAUCUCUUGGGUUAGGAAUCUUUUUGUGUGAUAUAUUAUUUUGAAUUUAUAGAGCAUUGGUUUUUAACAAGUUUUUAUCAUUUUUAACAGGUUUUUAUCAUUUAAAAGGUGACUAGGGCAAUGGGAUUACCUCUGAUAUCAGAGAGUUGGCAAUCAUGUAACCCUGAAAGUCAUGGCACAAUAUGGCAGAACAAGCACGUCUGGGGCCUGGGAGUCCUGAGGUACUCUAGUAAUUGUGGUUUUCCUCAUACUCUCUGGAUCUGGGGUGACCCAGAACACAGUCAUAAUUCUUGAACUGUUUGCAAGUGCAAACCUUGAGAUCUUCCCAAGCCAGUCACCCAGUCGAUAAUCAGCUCAAGAUCAUCCCUAUACCCCGAGUAGAAUUAGUUGUCAAUAUUUAGGGCACAAAAUUCAUUUUGGUGAGAUGCCCUAGGCCAUUGACACUAGUCAUAUAAUAAUCUAAUGUGUUUGCUGCAAUGACACAUUGCAGCCCUAUGUCCUCUGAGUUCUGGCUCUAAUGUGGUAUUUCUUUACACUAGCUUUCUCAAUAAUAUGAACAGCCUGCCUAUGAACUGAAAUGUGAAGUAUGAUACCCACUAUUAUAUAUCUUUCCUUACUGCAAGUCCAACUAAUGGUUAUUAAUAUGAACAACUUACCUCCUGCUUGCUUUCAGCUCCCGAAUUUUUAUUGUCUGUACUUUUCCUGUAGUGAAGUAGUUUCAUAGCUCAGCAAAGCCUCAGAAUUUUUUAUGAACAGUCUCUAAAAGGCAGCUAGAUCUAGCUCUAAGACAUCAAGCAAAUGACCCAGGACUUGUUAUUUUUCUUGUUGGUUUCUGCGUAGCUAAGGCAAAGGCUUUUUCUUGGCCUCCACUCAGCAAUAUGCAAAAAGCUGAAGCUUUUAAAGUGGGAGAAGAAACAGAAGGAACAGAGGAGGUAAUUGAGAAUUAGUCACAUUUGUUAUUUUUAGCACUGCCUGAUUUUGUCUGGAAAUGGAAGUGAAACUAUAAAAACAGAACAAAACCCGCACAAAGAAGACUCUCAGGAAAUGCUGGCUGAAUGACAGAAUGAACAUUGAUAAAUGAAGACUUCUUCAAAUAACUGAUGCUAGACAUCUCUAAAUAUAUCAGAAAUAACAUGUGACCAUGACAUCAUUCAUCAUUUUUCCAUCAAAACAUUUGAAAAUAACUUGGAUUCAUUUAUUAGAGCUUUAUUUUCCCACAUCUUGCAGUACCCUAGAGUUCUACAGUAAUUAACCUUAUGCUGAAUGGCAGAGGACAUGCACUAAGCUCCUAUUUAAAAUCUAUUCAUGAUGCAUUUUAAAUAUUCAGUAGAGACUUCUUAAACAUGCAGCCAUAGUCUAUUGAAAAUGGAUUUCCUAAAGCCAGGAGAUUGGAUAUUAAUAUCUGGCAUUCGUAUAAAGACAGGUUUUUGUUAACCUAUUAUAAAAAGGACUGAUGAUGUGAUUAUAUACUGUUUACUAGCUCACUUAUAUUUCUGUGCUAAUAAUUACUGUAACCCAUUUGUUUAGUUUUUUUAUUUUA
rnacentral:lncRNA from 1 species